AUGCUCCAUCUAGAGGGCCUAUCUUGGUGUACUCUUCCAGAUUUUGAGCAGCUACCACAUCUCACCAGUCUCACUUUGAAGAAUAUUGCCAGAAUACAUGUGUUUGGGCCUGGCUUUAGUGGUGUUACAGAAAGAAGCUUCAUGCACCUGAAGAAACUUAAGUUUGAGAAUAUGCCAGAGCUUGAGAAGUGGGUCAGGGAACCUAAUCGCCGUCUAUUUUCAAGGCUUGAAACCAUCAAGUUUGGGGGUUGUCCCCUUCUCAACUUGUUUCCCUUCUUGGAGUGCUCUAACCUAUUUACAAGCCUGUGUAGUCUUCAUAUUGAUAACUGCCCUGAGUUGUCUCAGUUCCCACCCAUGCCCCGGCCCACACCUCCACACUAA
rnacentral:rRNA from 1 species